rnacentral:lncRNA from 1 species
GUUUCAGUUGAGGUUUCACUUCAGUCAUUUACAGGACUCAAGACCAAAAGUUUGGUGUUUUUCCAUUUUUCCAUGCGUGCAGUAAGAACACUUCUAGGAAUCAGAGCAUAAUCCUGUUCAGCUUCUUGGAAAGAAAUGCACAGGACAGUUAUUAAGCUUAAAUUAAAAUGAUAAAUUUGAUUGUGCUUUGAAAACAUUGCACAAAUGGCAGUGAGGUGAUGCAGUAUGCUGGAGGUGUAGAGUUGUGUUUAUUGUGGCACCUUUCUCAUGUAGGAGGCUGUGGUGGUAGCUUUCACUGGUGUCAGAUCUAUGGUGAUCUGCAUCAGCAGUGUUGUAGCGUGUGGAGAGCAAACUUUGCUUUGUCUGGAUGCAGAAACUGCCCUUCUGUUGGCACAGAUGUAGCACACUACGUUAAUUACUGAGUGCCACCAUUUUCAUGGAGCUGUAGAUGCAGGGAGCAUCCGUCCAACUCUUGUAAUAGAGCAAACUGCUGGAGGAAAAAAGUAUUUAUUUGGUAAAUGAGUUUUGAAUUACAACCCAGGGAAGCAGACCUGAUGUUUGAUGAAGCUGCAGCUGUGUGAGCUUCGUAGCUCUGGGUGUAUCAAAUAACUUUCAUCAGCAGUAUGUGGGAUAAAGUUGUACCUGGAGCACAGCCUAUUGCAAGCUGCAUGCUGCUCAGAGAUACCCUGAUCUUCGUAUGGGCUGCCAUGUCAUGUUGGACCAUAUGUAAUUAAUUAAUUUCUUUUUCUCCAACAGUGAUGAGUUGAAAAUACUGAUGCAAAGCAAUAGGUGCCCAUGUACAAUUUAAUGUUUCAUUGUUUUACAGAUGGGGUCGAGGAUUCGGUCUGUUGGGUUCCAUCUUUGGAAAGGACAGUGCAAUAAAUCAGUCCAACAGUGUAUUUGGACUUGUGUUUUAUAUACUACAAAUGCUACUUGGUAUGACAGCAAGUGCAGUAGCAGCUCUAAUCCUCAUGACAUCCUCCAUAGUGUCUGUAGUAGGGUCUUUGUACUUGGCGUACAUUCUGUACUUCGUGCUGAAGGAAUUUUGCAUUGUCUGCGUCAUCACAUAUUUGCUGAACUUCAUUCUCUUUAUCAUCAACUACAAACGACUAGUUUAUUUGAACGAGGCCUGGAAACGGCAACUCCAACCCAAACAGGAGUAGCGCCUGUUCGAACUUGUGACUGA